AGCGACUAUUCCGUCCGCUGGGACCUGAUCGUUAACGAGUGUCCAAACCCUGCUGACAUGGCGAUGUUGCAGAAUGGCAUCUCGACAUCCAGCCGUUUCUCCUUCAGGAUGUUCACAUUUACCAGCUUCCCUAACAACAUCUACCUGCAUUGCCAGGUCCAUCUCUGUCUGCUGGAUUCAGGCAGCUGUGCACUGCACUUGCCAGAAGACGCCGAUCUGCAGAUUUCUACGAUUCGGCCGCAA